GAUCCUGGCUCACGAUGAACGCUGGCGGUCUGCUUAACACAUGCAAGUCGAACGGGCUCUUCGGAGCUAGUGGCGGACGGGUGAGUAACGCGUGAGAAUCUGCCUUCAGGAGGGGGAUAACGACUGGAAACGGUCGCUAAUACCCCAUAUGCCUCCGGGUGAAAAGUAAUUCGCCUGAAGAUGAGCUCGCGUCAGAUUAGCUAGUUGGUGGGGCAAGAGCCUACCAAGGCGACGAUCUGUAGCUGGUCUGAGAGGAUGAUCAGCCACACUGGGACUGAGACACGGCCCAGACUCCUACGGGAGGCAGCAGUGGGGAAUUUUCCGCAAUGGGCGCAAGCCUGACGGAGCAAGACCGCGUGGGGGAUGACGGCCUAAUGGUUGUAAACCCCUUUUCUCUGGGAAGAAGACUGACGGUACCAGAGGAAUCAGCCUCGGCUAACUCUGUGCCAGCAGCCGCGGUAAUACGGAGGAGGCAAGCGUUAUCCGGAAUUAUUGGGCGUAAAGCGUCCGUAGGUGGUUAUUCAAGUCUGCUGUCAAAGCGUGGGGCUUAACUCCAUAGAGGCAGUGGAAACUGAGUGACUAGAGUGCGGUAGGGGUCGAGGGAAUUCCCAGUGUAGCGGUGAAAUGCGUAGAUAUUGGGAAGAACACCAGUGGCGAAAGCGCUCGACUGGGCCUGCACUGACACUGAGGGACGAAAGCUAGGGGAGCGACAGGGAUUAGAUACCCCUGUAGUCCUAGCCGUAAACGAUGGAUACUAGGUGUUGCUCGUCAUCGACCCGAGCAGUGCCGUAGCCAACGCGUUAAGUAUCCCGCCUGGGGAGUACGCUCGCAAGAGU
rnacentral:rRNA from 1 species